rnacentral:rRNA from 1 species
ACGGAGGGUGCGAGCGUUGUCCGGAAUCACUGGGCGUAAAGGGCGCGUAGGUGGCGCUGCAAGUCGGUGGUGAAAGCUCGUCGCUUAACGACGAGUCGGCCAUCGAAACUGCAGGGCUUGAGCACUGUAGGGGCUAAUGGAAUUCCGGGUGUAGCGGUGGAAUGCGUAGAGAUCCGGAAGAACACCAGUGGCGAAGGCGGUUAGCUGGGCAGUUGCUGACACUGAUGCGCGACAGCGUGGGGAGCAAACAGGA